rnacentral:ncRNA from 2 species
UGAAUUAAAAAGGCGCCAGGACAGAUUCAGUUUAAAAGCUUAUCUGUUGACGAGGUGAAGGAAGCGGUUCAGCCAAGGCUGGAGCGUAUCGAAAGAUUCGGCGGAUACCUUCCGGUUGUUACAAUCGAAAGAGACCGGGAAUAUUGAAUAUUCCCAUACAAAAGUUGCAGGUGACUGCAAAACAAAAAGGUCUCACGUAACUAA